rnacentral:rRNA from 1 species
CCUACGGGCGGCAGCAGUGAGGAAUAUUGGUCAAUGGACGAGAGUCUGAACCAGCCAAGCAGCGUGAAGGAUGACUGCCCUAUGGGUUGUAAACUUCUUUUAUAUGGGAAUAAAAUGUUCCACGUGUGGGAUUUUGUAUGUACCAUAUGAAUAAGGAUCGGCUAACUCCGUGCCAGCAGCCGCGGUAAUACGGAGGAUCCGAGCGGUAUCCGGAUUGAUUGGGUUUAAAGGGAGCGUAGGUGGAUUGUUAAGUCAGUUGUGAAAGUUUGCGGCUCAACCGUAAAAUUGCAGUUGAAACUGGCAGUCUUGAGUGCAGUAGAGGUGGGCGGAAUUCGUGGUGUAGCGGUGAAAUGCUUAGAUAUCACGAAGAACUCCGAUUGCGAAGGCAGCUCACUGGACUGCAACUGACACUGAGGCUCGAAAGUGUGGGUAUCAAACAGGAUUAGAUACCCCAGUAGUC